GAUGAACGCUGGCGGCGUGCCUAAUACAUGCAAGUCGAGCGAACGGACGAGAAGCUUGCUUUUCUGAUGUUAGCGGCGGACGGGUGAGUAACACGUGGAUAACCUACCUAUAAGACUGGGAUAACUUCGGGAAACCGGAGCUAAUACCGGAUAAUAUUUUGAACCGCAUGGUUCAAAAGUGAAAGACGGUCUUGCUAUCACUUAUAGAUGGAUCCGCGCUGCAUUAGCUAGUUGGUAAGGUAACGGCUUACCAAGGCAACGAUGCAUAGCCGACCUGAGAGGGUGAUCGGCCACACUGGAACUGAGACACGGUCCAGACUCCUACGGGAGGCAGCAGUAGGGAAUCUUCGGCAAUGGGCGAAAGCCUGACGGAGCAACGCCGCGUGAGUGAUGAAGGUCUUCGGAUCGUAAAACUCUGUUAUUAGGGAAGAACAUAUGUGUAAGUAACUGUGCACAUCUUGACGGUACCUAAUCAGAAAGCCACGGCUAACUACGUG
rnacentral:rRNA from 1 species